rnacentral:lncRNA from 1 species
UAAAUUUGCUGGCUCAGGCUCUGGUUAUCCUUGGGAAAAGCCUGGAUGGUUGGCUCCUUCUACCAGAGCCAAGGUGGCCUAUUUACCAGAAGGCAGACGCGAACACUCUGAAGCAGGAUUCGGAUAACAGUUGCUCUGACCCUCUUACUCGGUGUCUCCCAUCUAUAGCCUCACCUCUCCAGGCCAGACCACCAACUGCAAGUCUUUUCUUGGCAGACUUACUGUCCUUUGCAACCAUCAGUCUAAAGUUCACUAUUUCAUCCUCUCCAGUCACACAGCUCUUUAAAGGAAGAAACAGAACAGGCUCCAUCUUGAAAGCAGGACUCCAGCUUGGGCUCAACUGUGGACUUGGAGCUCUAUGCCCAGUAUCUACGGAAACGACGUACCAACUGGAAAACCAGACCCCUGGAUGGAAGAACCCCAGGGCUUGUACCUAGACUCUCCAUCGCCUAAAAGAAUACCUUAAUUAUCUGUGUAACCGAAUAGAAUCAUGAAUUCUAUUAUGCUUAUUGGGGUAUGACCACAGGCCUAUUGGUAAUUGCCCACUGUUAACUACCUAGGCUUAAGGCAUACGAAUCACAGGUUAACUUUGAUUGUAUCUUUCUUUUCCUUUGUUCAGGCUAGUUUCAGAGAAUUUGGGGAGAUGGAUUUGAGCACGUACACUUAGGGUAUAUAAGGUUUUCACAAAAACUGCUUGGGGUCCUUGGCUAGGAGGAGACUCUGCCUUGGGCCUGCCGGUGUAAUAAACUGCACUUCACUAUCUGCA